AGGGCGGAUUUCUCGGUUGGGGUCGACAGAAUUUUAUCAAGGACCACACAGUACCAGGAGAACAUGAGGUUCUGUGUACUUUGCGUCGGCGACGGUUGCCGCCGACGACUCGUCGCGUGAAUAUUGUCCGGCCGCUGACCGCUACGAACAGUCGCGGCAAUAUCGUCCGAGUCCUGCGUUCCUAGCACAUGGAGGUCUAUUUUGUACCUC